UACGAAGGGGGCUAGCGUUGCUCGGAUUGACUGGGCGUAAAGGGCGCGUAGGCGGUUUGCAUAGUCAGACGUGAAAUUCCUGGGCUUAACCUGGGGGCUGCGUUUGAUACAUGCAGGCUUGAGUUCGGAAGAGGGUCGUGGAAUUCCCAGUGUAGAGGUGAAAUUCGUAGAUAUCGGGAGGAACACCGGUGGCGAAGGCGGCGAUCUGGGUCGAUACUGACGCUGAGGUGCGAAAGCGUGGGGAGCAAACAGG
rnacentral:rRNA from 1 species